rnacentral:rRNA from 1 species
UCGAGCGAACAGACGAGGAGCUUGCUCCUCUGACGUUAGCGGCGGACGGGUGAGUAACACGUGGAUAACCUACCUAUAAGACUGGGAUAACUUCGGGAAACCGGAGCUAAUACCGGAUAACAUGUUGAACCGCAUGGUUCAACAGUGAAAGACGGUCUUGCUGUCACUUAUAGAUGGAUCCGCGCCGCAUUAGCUAGUUGGUAAGGUAACGGCUUACCAAGGCAACGAUGCGUAGCCGACCUGAGAGGGUGAUCGGCCACACUGGAACUGAGACACGGUCCAGACUCCUACGGGAGGCAGCAGUAGGGAAUCUUCCGCAAUGGGCGAAAGCCUGACGGAGCAACGCCGCGUGAGUGAAGAAGGUCUUCGGAUCGUAAAACUCUGUUAUUAGGGAAGAACAAAUGUGUAAGUAACUAUGCACGUCUUGACGGUACCUAAUCAGAAAGCCACGGCUAACUACGUGCCAGCAGCCGCGGUAAUACGUAGGUGGCAAGCGUUAUCCGGAAUUAUUGGGCGUAAAGCGCGCGUAGGCGGUUUUUUAAGUCUGAUGUGAAAGCCCACGGCUCAACCGUGGAGGGUCAUUGGAAACUGGAAAACUUGAGUGCAGAAGAGGAAAGUGGAAUUCCAUGUGUAGCGGUGAAAUGCGCAGAGAUAUGGAGGAACACCAGUGGCGAAGGCGACUUUCUGGUCUGUAACUGACGCUGAUGUGCGAAAGCGUGGGGAUCAAACAGGAUUAGAUACCCUGGUAGUCCACGCCGUAAACGAUGAGUGCUAAGUGUUAGGGGGUUUCCGCCCCUUAGUGCUGCAGCUAACGCAUUAAGCACUCCGCCUGGGGAGUACGACCGCAAGGUUGAAACUCAAAGGAAUUGACGGGGACCCGCACAAGCGGUGGAGCAUGUGGUUUAAUUCGAAGCAACGCGAAGACCUUACCAAAUCUUGACAUCCCUCUGACCCCUCUAGAGAUAGAGUUUUCCCCUUCGGGGACAGAGUGACAGGUGUGCAUGUGGUCGUCAGCUCGUGUCGUGAGAUGUUGGGUAGUUCCCGCACGAGC